rnacentral:lncRNA from 1 species
CCGGGGACCGGCCUCCGCCGCGGGCUCUGCCCGCUCGCCUGCUCGCCUGGUGGGGGAGAGGGGAGCGGGGCCGACACAGGGUUCCUGACCAAGCUGGUGCUUCUGCGUGUGUUCCUGCAUGACUUGGUGUGUCCCCUUCUCUUGGAUCUACUGCAGUUGACAGCAGAUAACUGAAAGCUCGGAAAGCGAAACCGUGGAUAAGCAGGGGAACUGUGGCAUCCCAUUUAAAAUUGCUUCUGAAGAGAAGCAUGAGGUUACAUCUGUAAUCUCCCUGCAGCAGAGUCAACUGCAUAAGAAACCAAAAGACACACCUGCUCCAUGCCAGCUUCGAUAAUUUCUUUGUACCUUCGGCGAAAGAAGCCCAUCUGAAAGGCAGAAAGAAAGAGAAGCUGAGUUAGAAGUGCUGAAGAAUCAGCCAUUGUGACCCCAAGGCAGUCUGUCCCUGGCCUAAGCCACCACAUAAAAAGUCAGACCAUCUGCUGGAAGAACCACAUGGAGAGGCCCUGAGUCAACAUGGAGAGGAAGAAGGACUUGACUGAAUCCAGCCUUCCAGCUGUCCCUACCAAGGUGCCAGGCAUGAGAAUGAAGCUGUCUUGAACUCUGAAGACCAGCUUAGCCACCAGAUGCCAAACACUGAGCAGGCUUUGUUCUCCACCCACAAACCAGAGGCUGUCUCAGCAGGAAGGAGUUGGAGUUGGAGAAAAAGGAGAAUUAAGAAUCUAUCUGGCGAUGUGGAUUAAAUAAACAACAAAUUGGCAGAUUGUUUUUAAAAGGCAGGAGAGCUGGGCAUCUAUGAGUGGGGACCCCAGGGGGACCUGCAAUCACCAGACUCACCUUCCAGAGCAGCACGGCCAGCAGCAGGAAGAUGAGGAUUCCCACCAACAAACUGAUGGCGAUGAUCCACCCCACGACGUAGCCACGGGGCUCCAGAUUGUGCAGGGCCUCGAAGACCACCUAGGAGGCAACGCAACAGUGAAAACAUUUCCUUUUUUAUUUUUUUUUUGAGACAGAGUCUUGUUCUGUCACCCAGGCUGGAGUGCAAUGGCACAAUCUCGGCUCACUGCAACCUCUACCUCCUGGGUUCAAGCGAUUCUCCUGCCUUAGCCUCCCAAGUAGCUGGGAUUACAGGUGCCUGGCUAAUGUUUUGUAUUUUUAGUAGAGACAGGGUUUCACCAUGUUGGCUAGGCUGGUCUCGAACUCCUGACCUCAGGUGAUCCACCCACCUCGGCCUCCCAAAGUUUUGGGAUUACAGGCACGAGCCACAGUGCCAGCUGAAAACGUUUCCUAAACAGAAGUGCGCAGAGCAUGAUGGAGCCCAGCCUGGGCUUGACAUUUGGAGAGAACUACAGAGAAGUAUCCAGACUGUUGUUACUAAUAAAUAAAUACAUAAGCUCCGCUGAACGAUUUUCUGGUUGCAAACUGAUGGAUUUUUCACUGGC